UGAGUGUGGAAUCAUUCGUGUUGGAUUCAUGCUUGGAACGUUGGGUGCUAGAGGAGGUUAAGGUCUCUCUUGUGCUCACCGAAGAGAUAGGUAUUUGUAGUGUGUAGUGUUAAGGGUCCAAGAGUGGAAUAGGCUCUUGGGUUCUUAAGAUUAUACCUUCACUUUGUCUAUCUAUCUAUCUUUACAUUUCUUGUACUCUUUGUUGUUGUUCUAGUCAAAACCGUGUGUUGUUGUUUCCAUUGUGUUAUUGUUCAUCUUGUUCUU
rnacentral:lncRNA from 1 species